rnacentral:rRNA from 1 species
GAUGAACGCUAGCGGCAGGCUUAACACAUGCAAGUCGAGGGGUAGAGUUAGCUUGCUAACUUGAGACCGGCGCACGGGUGCGUAACGCGUAUGCAAUCUACCUUGUACAGGGGGAUAGCCCAGAGAAAUUUGGAUUAAUACCCCAUAGUGUAACGAAAAGGCAUCUUUUUGUUAUUAAAGUCACAACGGUUCAAGAUGGGCAUGCGUCCCAUUAGUUAGUUGGUGAGGUAACGGCUCACCAAGACGAUGAUGGGUAGGGGUCCUGAGAGGGAGAUCCCCCACACUGGUACUGAGACACGGACCAGACUCCUACGGGAGGCAGCAGUGAGGAAUAUUGGUCAAUGGGCGCAAGCCUGAACCAGCCAUGCCGCGUGCAGGAUUAAGGCCCUAUGGGUUGUAAACUGCUUUUGUACGGGAAGAAACACCAGAACGUGUUCUGGCUUGACGGUACCGUAAGAAUAAGGAUCGGCUAACUCCGUGCCAGCCGCCGCAGUAAUAC